UCUAAACCAAGAGCUUUGAUCUUAGUAUCUGUAAAAAAGAGGUCAUUUGGUCUCCCCAGGAAGCACAGACAUUUAGAAGGUCCCCGUACAACUCAUGCAAGUAUUUUAUUAACAACAAUUUCUAUUCACAUGUAGCUGAGGAGGGGACAAGAGGAAAAGAGAACUGUCAGCAUCUCUGGAGAUGUGGUCCAUUUCCACACAAGACCCAGUUGAUCUUUCUGGUAAAGAAGGAGGAAUUGCAUCUUUCCUGAGACAAAGAGCCUACCUAUAUGGAGAAGCCAUCAUAGGCAGCUCUUUUGCUGUGGACAUGGGAAGAAAAAAACAGCCUGCACUACCUGAGUCAGCAGGAAGAUCUUAGCAGAGACAAGGAUUGGACACCUGCAAAUUUUUUUUGAGAUUUUAGCCAAGAAUUUCUCUGCAAAUUUCUUCUUGGGUUUUCAUUGCUGAGACUCUCAUUCUGAGGUGCUGUGUACCUGGCUUCCAGGCAAAACAAAUAAAGCGAAAGAGCUGACCAGAAGUACACCUUGAAAACAAUCUGUUCAUGAAAACUGUCCCGGACUAUUGAAUUCAGCAAGCUCUAUGAUAGUAAUGGUAAGAUUUCACAGUUUACUAAAAACAGCUGAAAACCCUUCAGUUAAGUGUUGAUAGCCAACAAAAGCUCUUUGAUGUAAACCACUGGAUUAAAACUGUUUGCCCUCACUAUUUAGUGAAUCCCAAGCACAAAUACAGGAUGGGUGGAGAAUGGAUUGAGGGCAGCCCUGAGGAGAAGGACCUGAGGAUGCUGGUCGACAAGAAGCUCAACAUGAGCCAGCAAUGUGUGCUUGCAGCCCAAAA